UACGUAGGGGCUAGCGUUAUCCGGAUUUACUGGACGUAAAGGGUGCGUAGGUGGUUUCUUAAGUCAGGAGUGAAAGGCUACGGCUUAACCGUAGUAAGCUCUUGAAACUGGGAAACUUGAGUGCAGGAGAGGAAAGUGGAAUUCCUAGUGUAGCGGUGAAAUGCGUAGAUAUUAGGAGGAACACCAGUAGCGAAGGCGGCUUUCUGGACUGUAACUGACACUGAGGCACGAAAGCGUGGGGAGCAAACAGGAUUAGAUACCCGGGUAGUCCCUGAGCGGGCUGGCAA
rnacentral:rRNA from 1 species